rnacentral:lncRNA from 1 species
CUUGAUAAGAACAGUUUAUAAUAAGGCAACUAAAAUUGAAGUGUCGGUGGUGGUAGUGGUGGUGGUGGUAUGACUCCAAUGAGUAUUAGUGGGCCGUGGCAAUGGAAUCACUGAACUGUGAUGGUGAGAGCAUAGUUGGGGGUUAGAUUGGCUUAUAGUGACUUGAUUUGGUUGCAGCUUGCCGUUUGAUAGCUUUCACAGAUAAUGAUGAUGAUGAUACCA